ensembl:snoRNA SNORA70 Small nucleolar RNA SNORA70
UUGCAGUCAAUGAAGCCGACUAGGUUCCUCUGCUGGUGGGUGCCCAGUGCAGUGGCUGCAAACAGCAACCUCCUGGGUAGCUUACACAACCUGUUGCUUGUAUGUGGUGCCCUAAGGGACCUUGGAGAUAUUG